GAUGAACGCUAGCGGCAGGCUUAAUACAUGCAAGUCGUGGGGCAGCAGGAUGUAGCAAUACAUUGCUGGCGACCGGCAAACGGGUGCGUAACACGUACGCAACUUUCCUUUAAGCGGGGAAUAGCCCAGAGAAAUUUGGAUUAAUGCCCCAUAAAAUUUUGAGAUGGCAUCAUCUUAUUAUUAAAGCUUCGGCACUUAAAGAUGGGCGUGCGGCUGAUUAGGUAGNGGCGGGGUAACGGCCCACCAAGCCAGCGAUCAGUAGCUGAUGUGAGAGCAUGAUCAGCCACACGGGCACUGAGACACGGGCCCGACUCCUACGGGAGGCAGCAGUAAGGAAUAUUGGUCAAUGGACGAAAGUCUGAACCAGCCAUGCCG
rnacentral:rRNA from 1 species